AGUGAACGCUGGCGGCAGGCCUAACACAUGCAAGUCGAACGGCAGCACAGAGGAGCUUGCUCCUUGGGUGGCGAGUGGCGGACGGGUGAGGAAUGCAUCGGAAUCUGCCCAAUCGUGGGGGAUAACCUCGGGAAACCGGGACUAAUACCGCAUACGACCUUCGGGUGAAAGCAGGGGAUCGCAAGACCUUGCGCGAUUGGAUGAGCCGAUGCCGGAUUAGCUAGUUGGUGGGGUAAAGGCCCACCAAGGCGACGAUCCGUAGCUGGUCUGAGAGGAUGAUCAGCCACACUGGAACUGAGACACGGUCCAGACUCCUACGGGAGGCAGCAGUGGGGAAUAUUGGACAAUGGGCGCAAGCCUGAUCCGGCCAUGCCGCGUGGGUGAAGAAGGCCUUCGGGUUGUAAAGCCCUUUUGUUGGGAAAGAAAAGCAAUCGGUUAAUACCCGGUUGUUCUGACGGUACCCAAAGAAUAAGCACCGGCUAACUUCGUGCCAGCCGCCGCUGUAA
rnacentral:rRNA from 1 species